ACUCCUACGGGAGGCAGCAGUGGGGAAUAUUGCACAAUGGGGGAAAGCCCAUCGAUGCAGCCAUGCCGCGUGUGUGAAGAAGGCCUUCGGGUUGUAAAGCACUUUCAGCGAGGAGGAAAGGGUGUGUGCUAAUACCUAACAGCUGUGACGUUACCCACAGAAGAAGCACCGGCUAACUCCGUGCCAGCAGCCGCGGUAAUACGGAGGGUGCAAGCGUUAAUCGGAAUUACUGGGCGUAAAGCGUGCGCAGGCGGUCUGUUAAGCGAGAUGUGAAAG
rnacentral:rRNA from 1 species